UUUUAUCAGAGAGUUUGAUCCUGGCUCAGGAUGAACGCUGGCGGCGUGCUUAACACAUGCAAGUCGAACGGGAAAUAUUUCAUUGAGACUUCGGUGGAUUUGAUCUAUUUCUAGUGGCGGACGGGUGAGUAACGCGUGGGUAACCUGCCUUAUACAGGGGGAUAACAGUCAGAAAUGACUGCUAAUACCGCAUAAGCGCACAGGACCGCAUGGUCCGGUGUGAAAAACUCCGGUGGUAUAAGAUGGACCCGCGUUGGAUUAGCUUGUUGGUGGGGUAACGGCCCACCAAG
rnacentral:rRNA from 1 species